rnacentral:lncRNA from 1 species
CAGCUCCGAUGGGGAUUAUUAAUGGGAUCUCACUGAAUUAUUUCAAUAAAAUAAAUAGUCAAAUAGCACAUGAAAUUAAGGAAUGCCAAUUAUGAGCCCAUGAUUGGAAUGUGUCAUAAAUUAACAUUUAUGAUUAAUUCAACUCAGCCCCACUAGGGAUCAUUCAUUACUAAAGGGAUGCAUUGAAUUUCACAUAUUUUCAGAGCGGGAUUAUAUUAACUUCCUACUUAAUAUUCUGGCCACAUUUGCUAAAUCCAUUUCUUCAUUGAUUAAGAUUCAGUUGUUAACUCUUUGAGGCUGGAGUGCUGUGGAGGAUGGCAGAUGUCUUUUUUGUCUGUUGUGGGCUAAGAUCAUAGCGCUGUUUCUGUUGAUCACCAGCUUUAAUAUAAUGACAAAUUAAGUGGAAAAGGAGCAGGUGGGCACUGAUCUCAAGGAAGGGACUGAUAGGAAGUAAGUGUGCUGAUUAACCCCUAUGUGCUAAAACAGAGCCUUAUUGUGAAAAGUGAUUGAGUCUAUUCAUGCUACAUUAACAGGGCCACGAAGAGAUCUUGGUUGUGUUCAAGCCUUUGUUCUUAGUUUUAUGUCAGUGCAGCUCAUUGAUUGUGUGAUUAUUAUUCGUGAAUCUGUGAACGAAUGAAUCAGUUCAGGAAGGGAUAAGUGGAUUAAGACUGCAGCAUGCCAGGCUUCCCUGUCCAUCACCUAUAGAUCCUAAAUCGGGCUUGGUGGUGGACUUAAUAAUGUUUAUUAUAUUAUUCAUAACUAAAAAUUCAAUACUGGAUUAGUAAAAAAUUGCAUUUGAGCCAAAGUUUAUGGUUAUCUAGUUCUGCCUAACAAAAAGACUAAC